UAAUAUGAACUAAUAUACAUAAAUAUAGU
rnacentral:sRNA from 1 species